GGCGUUCAUGUUUUACUUUAUGUGUGUUCCUUGUGUAGAUUGUAGAGCUGCCAAACAGGAAAAUAAUUGUCUUCAUCAUCUUAGAUGGUGUACAAAAAAUCUAUUUUUAAAGAGUGUAUUUAAUGGGGAAUUAUUUUAACCACUCUCUUCUUAUAAGGACACGUGGAUGUUGAGAAAUAGUAAAGUGAUCCUGUGUUUGAGUCUACAUUCCUUUGUCAUUUGUAAUUUGUUUCACUUGUUUUUUAGAGUCAGCCAACUCGAAAGAGAAUUAAACUGCCUUCUGUUGUCAACUACAAUAAAAAGCUAGACAUUUUCUCAGACCAUGACACCUCCAGUCCAACCUGUCAGCUCCUAAUAAGCUAAACUUUUUGUGUCUUUAAGGUGCAUUUCUCAUUGUCAACCAUGCAGGCUUUGGGACGCUGCAGGAAUUCCCUAUAUGCAGAUGAUCACUGAUUCACUAUCAAAGAGGCUGUGUGAGCUGUCCAGCCACGCCUGUCUCUAGAGGAGGAAAUAUAAAUCCACCUGCAGGACGUCUCCUGUGCAUUCUUGAAUGAGACUGAGAGGCUUCUGUUGCAGCUCGUUUCUCCACAGUAUUUCCUUCCAGUCAUCAUGGAGCGUGAGUGUUUUCCCAUCAGCAUCCGUUUAACUGGAGUCCUCCGCAAGGAGAAGAUCAAAAUGUACAUAACUUCUGUGCUUUGGUCGGAUCAGAAUGAGAUUGUAGUUUAUAGAAGUUUUGAUGAUUUCAGGAAAAUGCAUAAACAACUGAAGAAGACGUUUUCAUCUGGGAGUAAAAUAAAUAAAUCUGUCAGAAUCCUUCCUAAAUUUCAAAG